CCGGAGGGCUGGAUUGGGUGCCGCGAGGCGGAAAUACGCAACCGAGGGGAUACGGUGCCCGCGUAGGUUCCGGCGACAACGGCGGUAACAUGGAGGAGGUGCCCCACGAUUGUCCCGGGACCGGCAGCGCCCAGGCGGGACAAGGGGCCGCAUGUCAGGGGUGUCCCAACCAGCGGUUAUGCGCUUCUGGAGUCGGCGCGGCUCCGGACCCAGCUAUAGAGGAAAUCAAAGAGAAAAUGAAGACCGUGAAACACAAAAUCUUGGUGUUGUCUGGAAAAGGCGGUGUUGGGAAAAGCACCUUCAGUGCCCACCUUGCUCACGCCCUGGCGGAGGAUGAAAACACACAGGUUGCUCUUCUAGACAUUGAUAUAUGUGGGCCGUCAAUUCCCAAGAUAAUGGGGUUGGAAGGAGAACAGGUUCACCAGAGCGGCUCAGGCUGGUCUCCAGUGUUCCUGGAAGACAACCUGGGGGUGAUGUCGGUGGGUUUCUUGCUCAGCAGUCCUGAUGACGCCGUUAUCUGGAGGGGACCAAAGAAAAAUGGUAUGAUCAAGCAGUUCCUGCGGGAUGUGGACUGGGGAGAGGUGGACUACCUCAUUGUGGACACCCCGCCCGGGACGUCGGACGAGCACCUGUCGGCUGUCCAGUACCUGGCCGCGGCACACAUCGACGGGGCGGUGAUCAUCACCACCCCUCAGGAGGUGUCCCUCCAGGAUGUGCGGAAAGAAAUCAACUUCUGUCACAAGGUGAAGGUGCCCGUCAUCGGGGUGGUGGAGAACAUGAGUGGCUUCAUCUGCCCCAAGUGUAAGAAAGAAUCUCAGAUAUUUCCGCCAACGACCGGAGGUGCGGAGGUCAUGUGCCAGGACCUGAAGAUCCCUCUACUCGGCAAAGUGCCCCUGGAUCCACACAUAGGUGGGGAAGAGUUGCGAUGAAGGGCGGUCCUUUUUGAUUGACGCGCCAGACUCACCGGCCACAUUAGCCUACAGAAGUAUAAUUCAAAGAAUCCGAGAGUUUUGUAGUCUCCAUCAGCCAAAAGAAGAGAACCUCAUUAGUUCCUGAAACAUAGGGGAACAUUACGGACGCAAGCAGCAUGUCCACUGAAACCUGACCAGCUCGGGGACAAAGUGGGGGUCACAGACAGAGAGGGACCAGACUCUGGUGUGGUGUGAAGUCACUUUUUCAGAGACACUUUAAUCACCUUAAUAUUUGUACACUUUUCUUUAGAACAUAUGUAAAGGGCGUUCUUUACAAAUGUGCCGUUUUAAAAAUAAAAACGUCUCCUCAAACCUC